ACGUAUCCAUCCAGCAACAGGGAACUUGUGUCAGCGAUUCAAUGAAGGCUUCAAAUGUAUUGUACCGAAGGUGCUUCAACUAGCUCAAAGGAAAUGCCCACUAUUCCAGUUUUACCUGGAGACAAAAGAAGAAGCUCUUACUGAGGAUCUUCCAGAUAUUGACUUUAGGGCAGCCCUCAUCUUUCUGCCUUACAUCUUCAAAGAGAACAUUGAUCGCUUUAUUACACUUGGAGAGGCUGGGUUUUUUCCUCCCAUAUGUUUGUUUCUACGAACAAGAUCUUCUGAGAGAAUCACCUGUUUUGUGCUGAACGUAAUCCUCUGGUGAGAAUCGUCUGUGUCAAUCGCGAUUACAUGUGCACAAAUGGCGAGCUGCCCACGGACCUUUGAACUGUGAUUUGAAUUCAUCGACUGGUAGGAGAAUUCCAUUGUUUCUUGUUCUUUUGGGACACAAAAGAUCUCAAUACUUUGAACAGAUUAGAUUUUUUUCCUGCAUCUGAAACGCAGAGACUUUGUUUUGUUUUUUUUAACUGGAACUGGUCGAACGAGUGUUUAGCUCUUGAAGCUGAAUCAUUUGAUUCAUGAACUUUGAUCAAAUGAAUUAUUAGAUUCACAAUGCAUUGUUCAAUCGAAUCAUUUGAUUUGUUCUUGUGUUUUACAUUUCAUCAUUGAAUCUACUGUUGAGUUUUGAAAGAAAAAAAGUGUCAUUUACAUCUAUUUUUGGAAUUUAGUCAGAGUGAACAUCCUAUUACACACCCUUUUGACUUACUGGGUUCUUGAAUGUAAAGUUCAUUAAAGAGUUUUUUUAUUGUGAAUCUAUUUGGAAGAAACAGACACACUAUCGUUUUGUUUUUUGAGAAUUUAUUUUAUUUUGGUCAAAACAGAUUUGAAUCUGUUGAACUGUUGACAUUUUUUGAUACUAUUUGAGACAACAGAAUAUUUCUUGACUGCUGUUAAUUGAUUGUCCAUCAAUGUGGUUACUUGAAACAAACUACAAAGAAAAAGAAAAGGAACCCCAUCAAUAUAAAUUCUUUUAUAAAUUAAAUUUAAUCGUCUUGUCUAUUCACUCACCAGUAGCAUCAUACCCUCUCUCCAGUAGACGUUCCUGGCUUCUGGUCAUUGGCCCAUAUUGAACCCUGAGCUAGUGAGACGCGCUAAAAACGUUGUAUGCUACACUUACAUAUACGUCGUGUGCCUAAGUGGAUUCUACACAUUUAAACAAUUCAGACCAAUUAUCUUCAUUAUUUAUGGAACAGAUAAAAUACAUAUAAUAAUUUAUUAAAUUAAUAAUCAUGUUGACUUAACACCUUUCGUUAUUUAAAAGCUGAAAUGUGAGGGUUAUCUUUUCAUUAAAAAAAAAGUUUUUUUCACAGCUUUAUUUAAAAAUAUAUUAAAUAGAUAUUUAAACAUGCUAUUAGUUAAACUGUUGUCAGUCAUGUUGUCAUUUAAAAUCUGGACAUCAUUGGUAGGCUACUGUUGUUGUUUUAGUGAUUAUGCAAACAAAAAGUCAUUGUAUUUGUUGUUUUUUGAUUUUAAAUAUAAAACUUGGUGAGGUGAUUUGGCAGUACUUUUUGAAAAUUUCCAGUACAUUUUAACAAUACCGUGAUAAUACUGAGAACCGUGAU